ACCAGAGUAAAACAUUUUAAAACUUGAACCCAGCGAAAUAUACAUGUGUAUUAUCGCUACCUGGUGUAAAAACAUAGUUAGCAGGUUAUUACAGCAUUUUAUUGGUGUGUUCUUCUUCAUGAGCGAUCAAAUGUAUUUGACAAGUGUGAGUGUUAACUUGUGAAUAGUUUGAAAAUUUGGAGCAGGAGGCUGGCCGAUUGAGAUGCUUUCCUCUUUGUAGAUACUGCAGAAGUUCAGUCGCCAUGAGCUGCGCAAACGAGGAUUUGGACACUCACACAUCACUGCUCUGACUGAUGGCUCCUCUGCCUAGCACUUCAGGUGCCUGCCACUUCUUCAGCUCUAUGUCCUCGACUUCGC